GCCACGCAGCCUGCGGAGCGUUCGGGAGGCUGGCCCGGCUCAUCGGUGUCACGGCGAGGUCCGGAGCGGAGCCGCGGUCUCGGGUCCCAGCUCUGGGCGCCGGCCUGCUCCCCGCCGCCCCGCUGCCACAUCUGGCUGAGAUCCUCCCGGCGCGUGCAGGGACCGCUCCGGCGGCCAACAAAGGCCCGGGCGAGCCCUCGGCCUGCGCCUCGGCGCGCGACCCGACCACCCGGGGCUGCCCCAGCUCCCAGGCGCCUGCCUGCCUCGACCCGGCCCCUUCCCAGCGGCGCGCCCCGCUCCGGGCCGCCCAAACUGGGCGGCCUCCCCGGGGACAGGUCCCGGGCCCAGCCCCACAGGAGCUCCCGAGGCCCCGCGGACGGUCGCGACAGCCCCAACUUCCCGGAAAGAAGACCAAGAUGUAAGCACACCUGAGCAGAUCCUUUUCCAAGUAUCCUGAUGUCUCCAAGGGCUGUUCAGAUUCCAAAGAGAACUAUCUACAAGUUAAUCUCUGUUACUGGAGUCAUUCAUUCUCCGUAGUAAUCUGCUCCACAGAAUUCCUCUUCUCUUCCCUCCCAUAACCUGUUUUACCAGGAUCCAAGCCUCCAUUCUUUCUGUAACCUCAUUGGGAAGUUGGUUCUUCAUUUGGAAGGCUCCCAUGUGUACAUGUUAAAUAAAUAUCUAUGCC
rnacentral:lncRNA from 10 species